rnacentral:rRNA from 1 species
AGAGUUUGAUCCUGGCUCAGAAUCAACGCUGGCGGCGCGCUUAACACAUGCAAGUCGCACGAGAAAGUGGAGCAAUCCAUGAGUACAGUGGCGUACGGGUGAGUAACACGUGGAUCAUCUACCUCUUGGUGGGGAAUAACCCUGGGAAACCGGGGCUAAUACCGCAUAAGCCUGCAAAGGGAAAGCAGCAAUGCGCCGAGAGAGGAGUCCGCGGCCGAUUAGCUUGUUGGUAGGGUAAUGGCCUACCAAGGCAAUGAUCGGUAGCCGGCCUGAGAGGGCACACGGCCACACUGGCACUGAAACACGGGCCAGACUCCUACGGGAGGCAGCAGUGGGGAAUCUUGCACAAUGGGGGCAACCCUGAUGCAGCGACGCCGCGUGAGCGAUGAAGCCCUUCGGGGUGUAAAGCUCUUUCGGCAGGAACGAUAAUGACGGUACCUGAAGAAGAAGCUGCGGCUAACUACGUGCCAGCAGCCGCGGUAAUACGUAGGCAGCAAGCGUUGUUCGGAGUUACUGGGCGUAAAGAGUGUGUAGGCGGUUUUCCAAGUUCGGUGUGAAAUCUCCCGGCUCAACUGGGAGGGUGCGCCGAAAACUGGAGGGCUUGAGUAUGGGAGAGGAAAGCGGAAUUCCUGGUGUAGCGGUGAAAUGCGUAGAUAUCAGGAGGAACACCUGCGGUGUAGACAGCUUUCUGGACCAUCACUGACGCUGAGACACGAAAGCGUGGGUAGCAAACAGGAUUAGAUACCCUAGUAGUCCG